UACGGAGGAUCCGAGCGUUAUCCGGAUUUAUUGGGUUUAAAGGGUGCGUAGGCGGUUCGGUAAGUUAGAGGUGAAAUUUCGGUGCUCAACAUCGAAACUGCCUCUGAUACUGUCGGACUAGAGAGUAGUUGCAGAAGGCGGAAUGUGUAGUGUAGCGGUGAAAUGCUUAGAUAUUACACAGAACACCGAUUGCGAAGGCAGCUUUCUAAGCUAUAUCUGACGCUGAUGCACGAAAGCGUGGGGAGCAAACAGG
rnacentral:rRNA from 1 species